rnacentral:rRNA from 1 species
UACGUAGGCAGCACGCGUUGUUCGGAAUUACUGGGCGUAAAGCGUGUGUAGGCGGUUGGGUAAGUCUGGUGUGAAAUCUCCCGGCUCAACUGGGAGGGUGCGCCGGGAACUGCCUGGCUGGAGUGCGGAAGAGGAGAGUGGAAUUCCCGGUGUAGCGGUGAAAUGCGUAGAUAUCAGGAGGAACACCUGUGGUGUAGACAGCUUUCUGGACCAUCACUGACGCUGAGACACGAAAGCGUGGGUAGCAAACAGG